rnacentral:rRNA from 1 species
CCUACGGGUGGCAGCAGUGAGGAAUAUUGGUCAAUGGGCGCGAGCCUGAACCCGCCAAGUAGCGUGAAGGAUGACUGCCCUACGGGUUGUACACUUCUUUUAUAAAGGAAUAAAGUGAGGCACGUGUGCCUUUUUGUAUGUACUUUAUGAAUACGGAUCGGCUAACUCCGUGCCAGCAGCCGCGGUAAUACGGAGGCUCCGAGCGUGAUCCGGAUUUAUUGGGUUUAAAGGGAGCGUAGAUGGGUUGUUAAGUCAGUUGUGAAAGUUUGCGUCUCAACCGUAAAAUUGCAAUUGAUACUGGCAGUCUUGAGUACAGUUGAGGUAGGCGGAAUUCGUGGUGUAGCGGUGAAAUGCUUAGAUAUCACGAAGAACCCCGAUUGCGAAGGCAGCUUACUAAACUGUGACUGACAUUGAUGCUCGAAAGUGUGGGUAUCAAACAGGAUUAGAUACCCCUGUAGUC